rnacentral:rRNA from 1 species
CCUGGCUCAGGAUGAACGCUAGCGGCAGGCUUAACACAUGCAAGUCGAGGGGCAUCGGGAGUAGCAAUACUUGCCGGCGACCGGCGCAAGGGUGCGUAACGCGUGAGCAACAUGCCCGUAUCAGGGGGAUAAUCCAUGGAAACGUGGUCUAAUACCCCAUAGUAAUUAUGUAAGGCAUCUUAUAUAAUUUAAAGCUUUGGUGGAUACGGAUUGGCUCGCGUGACAUUAGCUAGAUGGUAAGGUAACGGCUUACCAUGGCUACGAUGUCUAGGGGUUCUGAGAGGAAGGUCCCCCCACACUGGAACUGAGACACGGUCCAGACUCCUACGGGAGGCAGCAGUGAGGAAUAUUGGACAAUGGAUGGAAAUCUGAUCCAGCCAUGCCGCGUGCAGGAAAGACGGCCCUAUGGGUUGUAAACUGCUUUUGUAUGGGAGCAAUAAGGGCUACGCGUAGUCCGAUGAGAGUACCAUACGAAUAAGCACCGGCUAACUCCGUGCCAGCAGCCGC